CAAGAUGUAGUUUAUAAUAAAACUUUAGCUUUGGAAGUUAAAAAUGUUACUGGUUAGCUGUCUUGA
rnacentral:tRNA from 1 species